rnacentral:rRNA from 1 species
GCUGCCAGUUGCAACGGGUAGAGCCGGGCACUCUGGCGGGACGUGCCAUCGACAAGAUGGAGGAAGUGGGGGAUGACGUCAAGUCAUCAUGGCCCGUUAUGUCCAGGGCGACACACGUGCUACAAUGGCCGGCACAGCGGGAAGCGAGGCAGUGAUGCCAAGCGGAUCCCUUAAAGCCGGUCUCAGUUCGGAUUGAAGUCUGCAACUCGACUUCAUGAAGCUGGAAUCGCUAGUAAUCGCAGAUCAGCCAAGCUGCGGUGAAUACGUUCCCGGGCCUU